UACGUAGGGUGCGAGCGUUGUCCGGAAUUAUUGGGCGUAAAGGGCUCGUAGGCGGUCUGUUGCGUCAGGAGUGAAAACUCGGGGCUUAACCCCGAGCCUGCUUCUGAUACGGGCAGGACUAGAGGUAUGCAGGGGAGAACGAAUCCUGGUGUAGCGGUGAAAUGCGCAGAUAUCAGGAGGAACACCGGUGGCGAAGGCGGUUCUCUGGGCAUUACCUGACGUGAGGAGCGAAAAGUGUGGGGGAGCGAACAGG
rnacentral:rRNA from 1 species